AAAGGCUUUCUCAGGAGACCAGGGACCAGACAGGAGAAUGGCUGGUGUGCCAUGGACUCUACAGGCCCCUUGAGCAGUGAGGAAGCAUUUUCCAGCCACAUCCUCUUACUCUGGAGGAUCAGAAUAUAGAUGAUAAAAUGUCUACAUGACAAGAGCAAGUGAGAUGAAUGUUGAAGGCACUGUGACAUACAUCUCACACCGUAUCAGGAAGAUCAUCUGCUUCUGGACUGUAGUUGAACUCAGAUAACUGAAACCACGGAGAAGGGGGGACCUCUCCACACCAUGGUCUCUGUAACUAUGAGUGUUGCUCUCAUGGAACUGGUCCGGAAUUUGGUUUAUAGAGAUAGAGAGCUGUAAUAAAUGCCUUUAAAAAUGGCA